rnacentral:rRNA from 1 species
UCAGAACGUACGCUGGCGGCACGCUUAACACAUGCAAGUCGAACGAAGUAGCAAUACUUAGUGGCAGACGGGUGAGUAACAUGUGGGUAUCUGCCCUUUGGCCUGGAAUAACACGAGGAAACUUGUGCUAAUACCGGAUAAGUCUUUACGGAGAAAGCUUUAUGCACCAUUGGAUGAGCCCGCACUUGAUUAGUUUGUUGGUGGGGUAAUGGCCUACCAAGACUGUGAUCAAUAGCUGAUUUGAGAGGAUGAUCAGCCACAUUGGGACUGAGACACGGCCCAAACUCCUACGGGAGGCAGCAGUGGGGAAUCUUGCACAACGGAGGAAACUCUGAUGCAGCGAUGCCGCGUGAGUGAAGAAGGCCCUUGGGUUGUAAAGCUCUUUCGUCGGGGAAGAAAAUGAC